rnacentral:rRNA from 1 species
GACGAACCGUGCGAACGUUGUUCGGAUUCACUGGGCUUAAAGGGCGCGUAGGCGGGCGGUCAAGUCGGGGGUGAAAUCUUUCCGCUUAACGGGAAGCGUGCCUCCGAUACUGAUCGCCUCGAGGGAGGUAGGGGCAUGUGGAACUUCCGGUGGAGCGGUGAAAUGCGUAGAUAUCGGAAGGAACGCCCGUGGCGAAAGCGAGGUCCUGGACGCCUACUGACGCUGAGACGCGAAAGCCAGGGGAGCGAACGGG